UACGUAGGGGGCAAGCGUUGUCCGGAAUUAUUGGGCGUAAAGAGCGCGCAGGCGGUCCGAUGCGUCGUGCGUGAAAGACCCCGGCUCAACUGGGGAGGGUCGUGCGAUACGGUCGGACUCGAGGCCAGUAGGGGGACGCGGAAUUCCGGGUGUAGUGGUGAAAUGCGCAGAUAUCAGGAGGAACACCGGUGGCGAAGGCGGCUCUCUGGGACGGUACUGACGCUGAGACGCGAAAGCGUGGGGAGCGAACAGG
rnacentral:rRNA from 1 species